CCUACGGGUGGCAGCAGUGGGGAAUAUUGCGCAAUGGGCGAAAGCCUGACGCAGCGACGCCGCGUGAGGGAUGAAGGUCUUCGGGUUGUAAACUGCUUUUAUAAGCGAGAAAUAUGAUGGUAACUUAUGAAUAAGGAUCGGCUAACUACGUGCCAGCAGCCGCGGUCAUACGUAGGAUCCGAGCAUUAUCCGGAGUGACUGGGUGUAAAGAGUUGCGUAGGUGGCAUAAUAAGUAGCUAGUGAAAUCUGGUGGCUCAACCAUUCAGACUAUUAGCUAAACUGUUAAGCUCGAGACCGUUAGGGGUAACUGGAAUUUCUAGUGUAGGAGUGAAAUCCGUAGAUAUUAGAAAGAACACCGAUAGCGUAGGCAGGUUACUGGGACGGUUCUGACACUAAGGCACGAAAGCGUAGGGAGCAAACGGGAUUAGAUACCCGUGUAGUC
rnacentral:rRNA from 1 species